rnacentral:rRNA from 1 species
CAGUAGCCGCGGUAAUACAGAGGAUGCAAGCGUUAUCCGGAAUGAUUGGGCGUAAAGGGCUCGCAGGCGGUUUCUUAAGUCUGAUGUGAAAGCCCCCGGCUCAACCGGGGAGGGUCAUUGGAAACUGGGAAACUUGAGUGCAGAAGAGGAGAGUGGAAUUCCACGUGUAGCGGUGAAAUGCGUAGAGAUGUGGAGGAACACCAGUGGCGAAGGCGACUCUCUGGUCUGUAACUGACGCUGAGGAGCGAAAGCGUGGGGAGCGAACAGGAUUAGAUACCCCUGUAGUCCCUGUCUCUUAUAC